AGUGAACGCUGGCGGUAGGCCUAACACAUGCAUGUCGAACGGCAGCACAGUAAGAGCUUGCUCUUACGGGUGGCGAGUGGCGGACGGGUGAGGAAUACAUCGGAAUCUACUUUUUCGUGGGGGAUAACGUAGGGAAACUUACGCUAAUACCGCAUACGACCUACGGGUGAAAGCAGGGGAUCUUCGGACCUUGCGCGAUUGAAUGAGCCGAUGUCGGAUUAGCUAGUUGGCGGGGUAAAGGCCCACCAAGGCGACGAUCCGUAGCUGGUCUGAGAGGAUGAUCAGCCACACUGGAACUGAGACACGGUCCAGACUCCUACGGGAGGCAGCAGUGGGGAAUAUUGAACAAUGGGCGCAAGCCUGAUCCAGCCAUACCGCGUGGGUGAAGAAGGCCUUCGGGUUGUAAAGCCCUUUUGUUGGGAAAGAAAAGCAGCAGGUUAAUACCCCGCUGUUCUGACGGUACCCAAAGAAUAAGCACCGGCUAACUUCGUG
rnacentral:rRNA from 1 species